rnacentral:rRNA from 1 species
CAGCCGCCGCGGUAAUACGUAGGUGGCAAGCGUUGUCCGGAAUUAUUGGGCGUAAAGGGCUCGCAGGCGGUUUCCUAAGUCUGAUGUGAAAGCCCCCGGCUCAACCGGGGAGGGUCAUUGGAAACUGGGAAACUUGAGUGCAGAAGAGGAGAGUGGAAUUCCGCGUGUAGCGGUGAAAUGCGUAGAGAUGUGGAGGAACACCAGUGGCGAAGGCGACUCUCUGGUCUGUAACUGACGCUGAGGAGCGAAAGCGUGGGGAGCGAACAGGAUUAGAUACCCCUGUAGUCCCUGUCUCUUUACA